AUUGAACGCUGGCGGCAGGCCUAACACAUGCAAGUCGAACGAGUGGCGGACGGGUGAGUAAUGUCUGUGAAACUGCCUGAUGGAGGGGGAUAACUCCUGUAAACGGUAGCUAAUACCGCAUACCCUCGGAUGUGCCCAGAUGGGAUUAGCUAGUAGGUGGGGGAAAGGCUCACCUAGGCGACGAUCCCUAGCUGGUCUGAGAGGAUGACCAGCCACACUGGAACUGAGACACGGUCCAGACUCCUACGGGAGGCAGCGUGGGGGAAUAUUGCACAAGGGGCGCGAGCCUGAUGCAGCCAUGCCGAGUGUAUGAAGAAGGCCUGCGGGUUGUAAAGUACUUUCAGCGGGGAGGCGUUACCCGCAGAAGAAGCACCGGCUAACUCCGUGCCAGCAGCCGGGGUAAUAC
rnacentral:rRNA from 1 species